rnacentral:rRNA from 1 species
UAGCGGAGGAAAAGAAACUAACAAGGAUUCCCCUAGUAACGGCGAGUGAACCGGGAAGAGCUCAAAUUUGAAAUCUGGCGUCCUCAGGGCGUCCGAGUUGUAAUCUAUAGAGGCGUUUUCCGUGCCGGACCGUGUCCAAGUUCCUUGGAACAGGAUAUCAAAGAGGGUGACAAUCCCGUACUUGACACGAUGACCGGUGCUCUGUGAUACGUCUUCUACGAGUCGAGUUGUUUGGGAAUGCAGCUCAAAAUGGGUGGUGAGUUCCAUCUAAAGCUAAAUAUUGGCGAGAGACCGAUAGCGAACAAGUACCGUGAGGGAAAGAUGAAAAGCACUUUGGAAAGAGAGUUAAACAGUACGUGAAAUUGUUGAAAGGGAAACGAUUGAAGUCAGUCGUGACUGAGAGGCUCAGCCGGUUCUGCCGGUGUAUUCCCCUCAGUCGGGUCAACAUCAGUUUUGUCCGGUGGAAAAGGGCGGUAGGAACGUGGCACCUCCGGGUGUGUUAUAGCCUGCCGUCGCAUACAUCGGGUGAGACUGAGGAAUGCAGCUCGCCUUUAUGGCCGGGGUUCGCCCACGUCCGAGCUUAGGAUGUUGACAUAAUGGCUUUAAACGACCCGUCUU